rnacentral:tRNA from 1 species
GGGCCCGUAGCCUAGCCUGGAUAGGGCACCGGACUUCUAAUCCGGAGAUCGUGGGUUCGAAUCCCGCCGGGUCCG